GCCGUCGUAGACCGUGGUGGUCGCCCACCUACAAUUUCUGGUCAGAAUUGUAUGCAAGAAGGAGUCGGAGGUUCGAAUCCUCCCGGCGGCG